rnacentral:rRNA from 1 species
GAUGAACGCUGGCGGCGUGCCUAAUACAUGCAAGUCGAGCGAACAGACGAGGAGCUUGCUCCUCUGACGUUAGCGGCGGACGGUUAGUAACACGUGGAUAACCUACCUAUAAGACUGGGAUAACUUCGGGAAACCGGAGCUAAUACCGGAUAAUAUAUUGAACCGCAUGGUUCAAUAGUGAAAGACGGUUUUGCUGUCACUUAUAGAUGGAUCCGCGCCGCAUUAGCUAGUUGGUAAGGUAACGGCUUACCAAGGCAACGAUGCGUAGCCGACCUGAGAGGGUGAUCGGCCACACUGGAACUGAGACACGGUCCAGACUCCUACGGGAGGCAGCAGUAGGGAAUCUUCCGCAAUGGGCGAAAGCUUGACGGAGCAACGCCGCGUGAGUGAUGAAGGUCUUCGGAUCGUAAAACUCUGUUAUUAGGGAAGAACAAAUGUGUAAGUAACUAUGCACGUCUUGACGGUACCUAAUCAGAAAGCCACGGCUAACUACGUG